rnacentral:rRNA from 1 species
GACGAACGCUGGCGGCGUGCUUAACACAUGCAAGUCGAACGGAAAGGCCCUGCUUUCGUGGGGUGCUCGAGUGGCGAACGGGUGAGUAACACGUGAGUAACCUGCCCUUGACUUUGGGAUAACUUCAGGAAACUGGGGCUAAUACCGGAUAGGAGCUCCUGCUGCAUGGUGGGGGUUGGAAAGUUUCGGCGGUUGGGGAUGGACUCGCGGGCUAUCAGCUUGUUGGUGGGGUAGUGGCUUACCAAGGCUUUGACGGGUAGCCGGCCUGAGAGGGUGACCGGCCACAUUGGGACUGGGAUACGGCCCAGACUCCUAAGGGAGGCAGCAGUGGGGAAUAUUGCACAAUGGGCGGAAGCCUGAUGCAGCAACGCCGCGUGCGGGAUGACGGCCUUUGGGUUGUAAACCGCUUUCGCCUGUGACAAAACGUGAGUGACGGUAAUGGGUAAAGAAGCACCGGCUAACUACGUG